rnacentral:ncRNA from 1 species
AUUUCGGAGAGUUUGAUCCUGGCUCAGAGUGAACGCUGGCGGCGUGGAUUAGGCAUGCAAGUCGAGCGAUGAUCAGGGGAUCAAGGCCGCAAGGCCGAGUGAAUUUGAUCAUAGCGGCAAACGGGUUAGUAACACGUGAGUAAUCUGCCCCAAAACUAAACAUAGCUUCGUGAAAACGGAGGUAAUAUUUAAUAUGAUCCUGUUAUCGCAUGGUAGUAGGAUUAAAGGCAGGGACCGAAAGGCCUGCUGUUUUGGGAUGAGCUCGCGUCCUAUCAGCUAGUUGGUAGGGUAAUGGCCUACCAAGGCUUAUGACGGGUAGCUGGUCUGAGAGGACGAUCAGCAACACUGGGACUGAGACACUGCCCAGACUCCUACGGGAGGCUGCAGUCGAGAAUCUUUAGCAAUGGGCGAAAGCCUGACUAUGCGACGCCGCGUGCAGGAUGAAGGUUUUCGGAUCGUAAACUGCUUUUGUCAGGAAAGAAAAUCCUGGCGUUAAUAGCGCCAGGACUGACGGUACCUGACGAAUAAGCCACGGCCAACUCCGUGCCAGCAGCCGCGGUAAUACGGAGGUGGCGAGCGUUACUCGGAAUUAUUGGGUGUAAAGGGCAAGUAGGUGGUUUGCUAAGUGAGGGGUGAAAUCUUCCGACUCAAUCGGAAAAUUGCCUUUCAAACUGGCAGACUUGAGGAUGGAAGAGGGAAAUGGAAUUCGCGGUGUAAGGGUGAAAUCUGUAGAUAUCGCGAAGAACACCGGCGGCGAAGGCGAUUUCCUGGUCCAUAUCUGACGCUAAACUGCGAAAGCUAGGGGAGCAAACAGAAUUAGAUACUCUGGUAGUCCUAGCCGUAAACGAUGAGCACUAGGUGUUGGUCCUUCGGGAUCAGUGCCGCAGCUAACGCAUUAAGUGCUCCACCUGGGGACUACGGCCGCAAGGCU